rnacentral:rRNA from 1 species
GGAGAAAGCUUGCUUUCUUGCUGACGAGUGGCGGACGGGUGAGUAAUGCUUGGGAAUCUGGCUUAUGGAGGGGGAUAACGACGGGAAACUGUCGCUAAUACCGCGUAGUGUCGAGAGACGAAAGUGCGGGACUGAGAGGCCGCAUGCCAUAGGAUGAGCCCAAGUGGGAUUAGGUAGUUGGUGGGGUAAAGGCCUACCAAGCCUGCGAUCUCUAGCUGGUCUGAGAGGAUGACCAGCCACACUGGAACUGAGACACGGUCCAGACUCCUACGGGAGGCAGCAGUGGGGAAUAUUGCGCAAUGGGGGGAACCCUGACGCAGCCAUGCCGCGUGAAUGAAGAAGGCCUUCGGGUUGUAAAGUUCUUUCGGUAUUGAGGAAGGUUGAUGUGUUAAUAGCACAUCAAAUUGACGUUAAAUACAGAAGAAGCACCGGCUAACUCCGUGCCAGCAGCCGCGGUAAUACGGAGGGUGCGAGCGUUAAUCGGAAUAACUGGGCGUAAAGGGCACGCAGGCGGUUAUUUAAGUGAGGUGUGAAAGCCCCGGGCUUAACCUGGGAAUUGCAUUUCAGACUGGGUAACUAGAGUACUUUAGGGAGGGGUAGAAUUCCACGUGUAGCGGUGAAAUGCGUAGAGAUGUGGAGGAAUACCGAAGGCGAAGGCAGCCCCUUGGGAAUGUACUGACGCUCAUGUGCGAAAGCGUGGGGAGCAAACAGGAUUAGAUACCCUGGUAGUCCACGCUGUAAACGCUGUCGAUUUGGGGGUUGGGGUUUAACUC